GGGGCUGCUUCGGUUUCGACGUUUAAACUUACUUUUAAUAAACAAAUAAGUUGAAGAUAAUCGCGUAAUUUAAAAUUAAAUGAUUUAAAAUAAAAAUCUUAAUACAUCUUUUUAUUCACUAGUACUAGAUUUUUCUAGUCUUCUAGUCUAGAAUAGUCAAAAAUAUUUUCUAAAUUUUUUACAUCUAAUAUUUAACGAAACUUUGUUCUUUUUAUUAAAGGAAUAUUUAAAUGGACGUGGGUUCAAUUCCCAUCAGCUCCA
rnacentral:tmRNA from 1 species